UUUUUUAUUUAGGAGUAAAAAGUAAUGUAAAAAUACGUAAUAAAAUACAGAAUUUUUUUUGUUACAUCAGAAUAUUUCACGCUUGAGCCCAGUAUGGUAUUUAACUAUUUACCCAACUCUGUUGCCCACGACUUUAUCAGCAUGGUCAGGCUUUGAGUUUGUAAAUGUCAAAUCGCUACGACAAUCAGUCAACUGUCAGAUUCUGUGAAAAACUUUAAUUUGAUAAGAAAUAGGUAAACGAUUUAAUGUGAUAAAGGCAUUGACGGGUUUUUUCAUUUUUGGGGAAGUUACCACGUUAUUAUGGUGGUCAGGGAUGUUUUUGAUCAUUUGUGGACUGUUAUUAAUACUGAGGGAUCAACCAUCAGAUGAACAUAUUUUGAAAAAAUCGAAUUAGUUUUUAUUUAUUUUUUAAUAUGUACAGUUUAAACAAUAAAUUAUUAAUAAAUUA